AUUGAACGCUGGCGGCAUGCCUUACACAUGCAAGUCGAACGCGAACGGGCUUCGGCCCAAGUAGAGUGGCGGACGGGUGAGUAAUGCGUGGGAAUCUACCCUCGAGCGGGGGACAACCCGGGGAAACCCGGGCUAAUACCGCAUACGUCCUACGGGAGAAAGCGGGCCUCUACACUAUGCUCGCACUCGAGGAUGAGCCCACGUCCGAUUAGCUAGUUGGUAGGGUAACGGCCUACCAAGGCCACGAUCGGUAGCUGGUCUGAGAGGAUGAUCAGCCACACUGGGACUGAGACACGGCCCAGACUCCUACGGGAGGCAGCAGUGGGGAAUAUUGGACAAUGGGCGCAAGCCUGAUCCAGCAAUGCCGCGUGUGUGAAGAAGGCCUGCGGGUUGUAAAGCACUUUCAGUGGGGAAGAACGGAUACGGGCCAAUACCCCGCAUCACUGACGUUACCCACAGAAGAAGCACCGGCUAACUCCGUGCCAGCAGCCGCGGUAAU
rnacentral:rRNA from 1 species